GAAGGUUGUAGCUCAGUAGGUAGAGCAGAAUACUAUCAGUAUUUGUGCGUUAGUUCGAUUCUAACCACCUUCACCA
rnacentral:tRNA from 1 species